GUUGCCACAAUUACCCCAAAUCCCUAUUAGGGAUUGAAAC
rfam:Oscillatoriales cyanobacterium TSR001 contig_32, whole genome shotgun sequence.